ensembl:misc_RNA Metazoa_SRP Metazoan signal recognition particle RNA
CCUGGGCAUAGUGGCUUGUGCCUGUAGUCCCAGCUACUUGGGAGGCUGAGGUGGGAGGGUUGCUUGAGCCCAGGAGUUUGAAGCUGCAGUGAGCUGACUGCACCACUGCACUCCAACCUGGGCAAGAGAGUGACACCCUGUCUCAA